CGGCGUGCUUAACACAUGCAAGUCGAACGGGAUCCAUCAGGCUUUGCUUGGUGGUGAGAGUGGCGAACGGGUGAGUAAUGCGUGACCGACCUGCCCCAUACACCGGAAUAGCUCCUGGAAACGGGUGGUAAUGCCGGAUGCUCCAGUUGAUCGCAUGGUCUUCUGGGAAAGCUUUCGCGGUAUGGGAUGGGGUCGCGUCCUAUCAGCUUGACGGCGGGGUAACGGCCCACCGUGGCUUCGACGGGUAGCCGGCCUGAGAGGGCGACCGGCCACAUUGGGACUGAGAUACGGCCCAGACUCCUACGGGAGGCAGCAGUGGGGAAUAUUGCACAAUGGGCGCAAGCCUGAUGCAGCGACGCCGCGUGAGGGAUGGAGGCCUUCGGGUUGUAAACCUCUUUUAUCGGGGAGCAAGCGAGAGUGAGUUUACCCGUUGAAUAAGCACCGGCUAACUACGUGCCAGCAGCCGCGGUAAUACGUAGGGUGCAAGCGUUAUCCGGAAUUAUUGGGCGUAAAAGGGCUCGUAGGCGGUUC
rnacentral:rRNA from 1 species